rnacentral:rRNA from 1 species
GACGAACCGUGCGAACGUUGUUCGGAAUCACUGGGCUUAAAGGGCGCGUAGGCGGGCAACCAAGUCCGAGGUGAAAUCCUCCAGCUUAACUGGAGAAGUGCCCCGGAUACUGGUGGCCUCGAGGAUGGUAGGGGCAUCUGGAACUAGCGGUGGAGCGGUGAAAUGCGUUGAUAUCGCUAGGAACUCCGGUGGCGAAGGCGGGUCUCGUGGGCCGAAAAUUGACGCUGAGGAGCGAAAGCGUGGGGAGCAAACAGG